rnacentral:SRP_RNA from 1 species
GCCGAGCUUUGUAAUGGGAGCUUGUAACCCAAGUGGGGGCAUUGAAGUGGUUGAAGGUUGGUUCGUUCCACCGUGCAGGGCUUUACUGAGAGAUGAUAUUUGGCCUGCCCGUUUCAAGUUGGGAGAUGGGCCUUGGCCUCUCGACGAAGGCUGAAGAGUCCAUUGCUACUAAAGUGGUGGGUACCGCGCGAGGCUGGUUCACAGAGCAGCGUCACCACCCACUCUCAACGGUGGAAGGAUAACGGGCCGUUUCUCGGUGACCUAAUAUAAUAUUGCACAGUGGGUUGUUCUCUGUCCGACAUCCACUUUU